UACAGAGGGUGCGAGCGUUAAUCGGAAUUACUGGGCGUAAAGCGCGCGUAGGCGGCUUUGCAAGUCGGGUGUGAAAUCCCCAGGCUUAACCUGGGAACUGCAUUCGAGACUGCAUUGCUAGAGUAUGGGAGAGGGAAGUGGAAUUUCCGGUGUAGCGGUGAAAUGCGUAGAUAUCGGAAGGAACACCAGUGGCGAAGGCGGCGAUCUGGGAAGAUACUGACGCUGAGGUGCGAAAGCGUGGGGAGCAAACAGG
rnacentral:rRNA from 1 species